AUUGAACGCUGGCGGCAGGCCUAACACAUGCAAGUCGAGCGGAGAUGAGGUGCUUGCACCUUAUCUUAGCGGCGGACGGGUGAGUAAUGCUUAGGAAUCUGCCUAUUAGUGGGGGACAACAUUCCGAAAGGAAUGCUAAUACCGCAUACGUCCUACGGGAGAAAGCAGGGGAUCUUCGGACCUUGCGCUAAUAGAUGAGCCUAAGUCGGAUUAGCUAGUUGGUGGGGUAAAGGCCUACCAAGGCGACGAUCUGUAGCGGGUCUGAGAGGAUGAUCCGCCACACUGGGACUGAGACACGGCCCAGACUCCUACGGGAGGCAGCAGUGGGGAAUAUUGGACAAUGGGGGGAACCCUGAUCCAGCCAUGCCGCGUGUGUGAAGAAGGCCUUAUGGUUGUAAAGCACUUUAAGCGAGGAGGAGGCUACUGAGACUAAUACUCUUGGAUAGUGGACGUUACUCGCAGAAUAAGCACCGGCUAACUCUGUGCCAGCCGCCGCGGUAAAAC
rnacentral:rRNA from 1 species